rnacentral:rRNA from 1 species
UACGUAGGGUGCGAGCGUUAAUCGGAAUUACUGGGCGUAAAGCGUGCGCAGGCGGUUCGUUAAGUCAGAUGUGAAAGCCCCGGGCUCAACCUGGGAACUGCAUUUGAAACUGGCGGGCUUGAGUAUGGCAGAGGGGGGUGGAAUUCCGCGUGUAGCAGUGAAAUGCGUAGAGAUGCGGAGGAACACCGAUGGCGAAAGCAGCCCCCUGGGCUGAGAUUGACGCUCAGGCACGAAAGCGUGGGGAGCAAACAGG